UAAUGCUUUGCUGCACCCAAAAUGAAAAUAUUCACUGCAUCAAUAAAUUUUUUUGCAUCAAUCUAUGUCAAUGGCUCUUCAAUUCCUUCCCACUAUCCUCUUCAUAUGCAAAAUGAAUCUAACAUUCCACCCUCAUCUUCGGACUCCUACGAAACGUUGUCCAUAUCAUUUUGAAACAAACAAAAACAAACCUAUGCAAACUUCUGCCUCUCUAUUUUUCAAUUUUCCACACUUCAACUCUUCUUUCUCUUUUUCUUUUUCGUGAAUCAAUCGCUCCUUCAAUCUUACGCUCUAUUCCUCUUCCUCUAUUUUAUUACAUGACUAUGGAAUUAAUGAAUCAAGCAACGAAAUGCAGGUGAUGCAUCUCCCGAUCUAUGUUCUACUUCCUCUGUUUUACAUCUUCUUCUUCAUUCUGCUAUUGGUUCGUGCAUUGAAGCUUGGAUCGACGAGGUCGAGCCAGUUGGGGAUGUGAUUUAGCCUAGAUUGUUGAGCAUCGUUGCUGCGAAGGUGAAGCUGAAUCGAUAAUGAAGAUGGAUUGACAUUUUGUAAGGUGCGAUGGUGUCGCUAAUGAUGUGAAGGCUGGGAAUCGUGAGUUGAAGGAGAUGAAACGAAGUUUCAGUUUAAAACAAGGUGAUGUAUUUUUGGAACUUGCUGCGCUCUGAGUUUUUUGAUGUAGUGUCUGAUUCUGUUUUACAGGUGCUGUAUGAAACGAUGGAUGAAAUUGCCAAAAGAGAUGUUGUAGCUGUUGCAAUUUUGUUGCGUGAAUGGCUGAGGUUUCGGUUCGAAGAAGGAUAUUAUGGCUUUGCUGAUUAUUGAAUUCGAUGAGGUAUGCCGUGUGUUCUUUUUGCAUGUUUUGGAAGAGGAUUUGGGUCUGAUUGAAGAUUGGUUUUAAUGAAAACUGGUGUUGAGUGGAGAUGUUUGGUGAUGAAGUUGUGCAAAAUCGUUGUGGUGACCGGUUCAGAUUUUUUAGAAGGAAACGCGUGGAUCCAUCUAUACCAACGGAGCCGCGAACAGUUUAUGAGGUCGAAAGUGGUGAAACUAAGAAGGUUGCCACUUAAAAGCACCAUUGAUGCCGGAUGCAAAUGCUGGAAAUUACGCAUCAAAAUGUCAGCUUGACUUGGUGGAAGUUACCAAGUCAUGGUUGAAAGAGACACUAUCACUUCAUCUAUUCAAAACUAGCAUGGCACUGUGUAUCCUAAUUCUGAUUUGCGUGAUGUAUCAUGCUCGAGCCCGUCUUACACGUAUCUUUGGACUACUCAUGCUUGAAAUAAAACAAAGCUCUGACAACUAAUAUAGUAGGUUACAAUUUUCCGAGUUAAUAGGCACACUCAAGUUUUGUUUAUUAAUGGAAGUAAUUGUAUGUGAAUUCAUAAGGUUAUGUUUUUGGUGUUCUGUAUCAUGACAUGAGUUUAGCUUUAUGAAUUGAAUUUGCUUCUGUAAGCUAUCAAAAUACAAUGGCUUUGCAUGUUUUCCCCGUUAUUAUAAAAGUUAAAACACACUGACAUGAACUUUUCGAAGUAUUUAGUAUAUCAAAUAUGAUUCAUAGUAAAAUCCAUCUUCAUAACAGAAAUGCAUAGGAGAGGCAAGAUGCACAGUAACUGUAUCAAACAGAAAUUUUGGGCAUGACCCGUUUCCGGACGUGUUGAAGCGGUUAUCAGUUAAAGUUAUUUGUGGUCCAACUAAUGGGGCUGUUUAGUUAACAAAGCUUCGUUUUUUAAGUGUUAUUUUCAGUGAUUUAUUAGCAAGUUGACAUAUUAAUAAGAGUAAAUUAGGUAAAGUAAGUCCCAUGGUUUUUUUAGGACAGUAAGUAGCUCUGUUUUUAUACAUGUUGUGCCAAAGGCACAUGGUUUUAGUUAAGCAGUGUUGGAUAGGUGAAUCUGAAAUCAAGGGUUUAAAAAUUGUAUCCUUUUGAGUGUGAAUUUGGAGUCAGGAUAUCUUAACUGCUGGUUGUUUGUAUCUGACAGGAUAUCCCCACAGUGCAGAAUUCUCAGAAUUUGAAUGUCCUUGGUGUUAAGGAAUAAGGAUGAUGAUUUGCUAAUGAUGACGGUCUCUAGAGCCGGGUUUAGUGCUGGUGUUGUUGCCUCGUGUUAACUACAAAAGUAUUGUUUGUAUUUUUAGUGAAUUAUUUCAAUAUGUUUGUAUUUUUAGUGAAUUGUUUCAAUAUUAUUUUAGCUGUAAUAUAAUUGAUAGUGUAUUAAUAGUGUAUAUUAAUUAUCAGAUUUUAUUAAUAUUUUGGACCAUUGUUUUACCUAAUUACAUUGUUUUACGUGUGAAACUUGGAUUUGGGAAGAUAUUACUCUAUUUUUGUUUUCAAUGAUAUCUCAUGCACACUUUCUUGAGUUUCCAAUGCAGACUAUUUCUUUUUCUUUUUAUAUGAAAAAGUUAAUUCAUUAUUCAACUUUUUGUCUUUGC